AGCAAACCAGUCCAAACCACCCUGCCAAGGAGAAGAGCUCGACAACAUGGGAGACUUAACUUUAAGGUGAUUUAUCGUGUCACGCACACUGGAUGAAGAGUAAUCAACAUGUCUGCCAGACUUUGAGUCAUACUGCAAGAGGAAAUUCGCA